UUUUUAGUAUAAGUAUAUCCCAUGCAAUAUUUGGGACAUACUUAUACUUAAG
rnacentral:pre_miRNA from 1 species